ACGGGUGAGUAACGCGUAGGUAACCUGCCUAUUAGAGGGGGAUAACUAUUGGAAACGAUAGCUAAUACCGCAUAACAGUAUGUAACACAUGUUAGAUGCUUGAAAGAUGCAAUUGCAUCGCUAGUAGAUGGACCUGCGUUGUAUUAGCUAGUAGGUAGGGUAAAGGCCUACCUAGGCAACGAUACAUAGCCGACCUGAGAGGGUGACCGGCCACACUGGGACUGAGACACGGCCCAGACUCCUACGGGAGGCAGCAGUAGGGAAUCUUCGGCAAUGGGGGGAACCCUGACCGAGCAACGCCGCGUGAGUGAAGAAGGUUUUCGGAUCGUAAAGCUCUGUUGUUAAGGAAGAACGAGUGUGAGAAUGGAAAGUUCAUACUGUGACGGUACUUAACCAGAAAGGGACGGCUAACUACGUGCCAGCAGCCGCGGUAAUACGUAGGUCCCGAGCGUUGUCCGGAUUUAUUGGGCGUAAAGCGAGCGCAGGCGGUUAGAAAAGUCUGAAGUGAAAGGCAGUGGCUCAACCAUUGUAGGCUUUGGAAACUGUUUAACUUGAGUGCAGAAGGGGAGAGUGGAAUUCCAUGUGUAGCGGUGAAAUGCGUAGAUAUAUGGAGGAACACCGGUGGCGAAAGCGGCUCUCUGGUCUGUAACUGACGCUGAGGCUCGAAAGCGUGGGGAGCGAACAGGAUUAGAUACCCUGGUAGUCCA
rnacentral:rRNA from 1 species